rnacentral:lncRNA from 1 species
AUGGGCAGUCCCAAAGAGGACGAGCCCCAGCUCAGAGCUGUAGUCCCCGCGCAGCCACAUGGGGGCGACCGGAAGCCGGCGAAGGCGUCGCAGAUCCGGAAUCCAGCCUUAGCCCUCCUCGCUUGCCCCCGCCCCCCAACACACACACCCAGGCCCCUCAAUCAAUUACCAGGACUGCCCUGGCCCACGACCCUUGUCUACACGGGCCUCUCCCUGGGGCAACCGCCCUGCCUCCUCCACGCCAACCAGAUCUACCUGGCCGCCCCAUGUAGCUUCUUCUUAGAGUCCCGACGCGGAUCUCGUCCCUUGUGGCUCCACACCGUCCCAUGGCUCCCUAUUGCUCUUAGAACAAAUCCCAACCCGUACCCGCCAGGAGUGGUCUGGCCCCUCUACCCUCCUAGCCAUCAUCUCCCUGCUCCAGCCACACUGCCCUCCUCACUCUGCCUCAAAUACCUUAACUGUGUGCCCACCUCAGGGCCUUUACACUUGGGUGACUGCAGUCUGAACAUUCUGCUUGCAGAUCUUUGGGAUCCACCCUUCCCCUUAUUAAGCAAUUUUCCUUUCCCCCCAUGCCCCACCCUCAUAUGGCUGGGGGCGUUCUCUCUGUGGGUUCUCCUCCUGCAGGGCGGGCGCCCGGGUUGGAAGUGCGCGCUGCUCGGUUUCCCCGGACGCCGCGUGGGGCCCAGAGCUCGCUCUUCUCGGACUUCCCGCCGACGCCGAGGCUGUGUUUGGAGAUCCGUCCCGGUUACCAUGAGAACCGCGCUCGUCGCUCCCACCCGCUUCGCCUCCCCCCUUCGCAGCUCGCGGGGCAGCGGGCGCCUCUGCGUCCCGCCCUCCCUCUCUCCGCCUCCGCCCUCCUCCGGGAGCCCGGCAGACCCUGCUGUCGCUCCGUCCUCUCCACCGGCGACUCCUCCCUCUGCCCAGCACGUGGCACUCUCUGAAAUUAUCCUACUGAUUCGCCAGCUUUUGACGGUCCGCCUUCCCCAUCAGACCCCCUGCUCCACAAGCGGUAACAACGUCCCCGGAGCCCCGCACACGGCGGGCGCUCAGUGUUUGUGGAGAGAAUGA